UGGCGUAAACAAAGGGAGGCGAAAUGGCGACAUGGAGCGAACCCCAAAGAUAACGUCCCAGUUCGGAUUGUAGUCUGCAACCCGACUACAUGAAGCUGGAAUCGCUAGUAAUCGCGGAUCAGAAUGCCGCGGUGAAUACGUUCCCGGGUCUUGUACACACCGCCCGUCACACCAUGGGAGUCAGUAACGCCCGAAGUCAGUGACCCAACCGGAAGGAGGGAGCUGCCGAAGGCGGGACGGAUAACUGGGGUGAAGUCGUAACAAGGUACC
rnacentral:rRNA from 1 species